rnacentral:rRNA from 1 species
GAUGAACGCUAGCGGCAGGCCUAAUACAUGCAAGUCGAACGCGGGGUAGCAAUACCUCGAGUGGCGCACGGGUGCGUAACGCGUAACCAACCUGCCCUUGACUGGGGGAUAGCCCGCCGAAAGGCGGAUUAAUACCGCAUAAACCAGCAGCCUGGCAUCAGGCAACUGGUAAAGAUUUAUUGGUCAAGGAUGGGGUUGCGUGACAUUAGCUAGUUGGCGGGGUAACGGCCCACCAAGGCGACGAUGUCUAGGGGACCUGGGAGGGUGAUUCCCCACACUGGCACUGAGAUACGGGCCAGACUCCUACGGGAGGCAGCAGUAGGGAAUAUUGGGCAAUGGGCGAGAGCCUGACCCAGCCAUGCCGCGUGCCGGAUGAAGGCCUUCUGGGUUGUAAACGGCUUUUCUCAGGGAAGAAAAAGGGUAUGCGUACCACACUGACGGUACCUGAGGAAUAAGCACCGGCUAACUCCGUGCCAGCCGCCGCAGUAA